rnacentral:rRNA from 1 species
UGGGGGAUAUUGCACAAUGGGCGAAAGCCUGAUGCAGCGACGCCGCGUGGGGGAUGAAGGCCUUCGGGUUGUAAACUUCUUUUGCCCUGAACAAGGCAUGCUAAUGGGUGUGUUGAGUGUAGGGGUUGAUUAGCGCCGGCUAACUACGUGCCAGCAGCCGCGGUAAUACGUAGGGCGCGAGCGUUGUCCGGAAUUAUUGGGCGUAAAGGGCUUGUAGGUGGCUGGUUGCGUCUGUCGUGAAAGCUCAUGGCUUAACUGUGGGUUUGCGGUGGGUACGGGCUGGCUUGAGUGCAGUAGGGGAGGCUGGAAUUCCUGGUGUAGCAGUGGAAUGCGCAGAUAUCAGGAGGAAUACCGGUGGCGAAGGCGGGUCUCUGGGCUGUUACUGACACUGAGGAGCGAAAGCAUGGGGAGCGAACAGG